rnacentral:rRNA from 1 species
UACGUAGGGUGCAAGCGUUGUCCGGAAUUAUUGGGCGUAAAGGGCUCGUAGGCGGUCCAUCGCGUCGGGAGUGAAAAGCUGGGGCUUAACCCCAGUCCUGCUUCCGAUACGGGUGGACUAGAGGUAGGUAGGGGAGAACGGAAUUCCUGGUGUAGCGGUGAAAUGCGCAGAUAUCAGGAGGAACACCGGUGGCGAAGGCGGUUCUCUGGGCCUUACCUGACGCUGAGGAGCGAAAGCAUGGGGAGCGAACAGG